UACGAAGGGGGCUAGCGUUGCUCGGAAUUACUGGGCGUAAAAGGGCGCGUAGGCGGCUCUGUUAGUCAGGCGUGAAAAUUCCUGGGCUCAACCUGGGGACUGCGCUUGAUACGGCGGGGCUUGAGGAUGGAAGAGGGUCGCGGAAUUCCCAGUGUAGAGGUGAAAUUCGUAGAUAUUGGGAAGAACACGGUGGCGAAGGCGGCGACCUGGUCCAUUACUGACGCUGAGGCGCGACAGCGGUGGGGAGCAAACAGG
rnacentral:rRNA from 1 species